rnacentral:tRNA from 1 species
UCCCGGUGGUGGGGGACCAAGGGGAUUUAAAAUCCCUCGAAGGCAACUUCUGCCGGUUCAAGUCCGGCUCUGGGCCC